GAAGGAUUUGAGGCUCGAAACCAAAGAUGCGCGUUCUUGUUAAUAAACUUCUGACGCCUUCAUCCGGGAAUCUGGUACGAACUCGCUCUCCAACAUGGCGGCGGCAGCUAAGAAAAAGGGGAAUAAGAAGGGGAAGACUCUGACCCUCACUGACUUCCUCGCAGAGGACAGUGGGAGUGGGGGCAAUGCUCCACCACCGCAACCCAGCUACGCCAAGUCCACCAGCUGGGCUGAUGAGACCGAUGACCUGGAAGGAGAUGUGUCCACCUCCUGGCACACAGGGGAGGACAGUUACCGGGCCCCCGCAAUAGACCGUAACAUCCUGCCCACUGCGCCACGGUCGGCCCGUGAGCCCAAUGUGGACCGCUCACGCCUCCCCCGCAGCCCCCCCUACACAGCCUUCCUGGGCAACCUGCCCUACGACGUCUCAGAGGAAUCUAUCAAGGACUUCUUCCGGGGCCUAGCGAUCAGUGCGGUGCGCUUGCCACGGGAGCCCAGUAACCCAGAGAGGCUGAAGGGCUUUGGCUACGCAGAGUUUGACGACGUGGACUCCCUCUUGAGGGCGCUGACUCUCAACGAGGAGAACCUGGGAAACCGCAGGAUCCGGGUGGAUAUUGCAGAUCAGUCCAAUGACAAGGAGGGGAGAGACAAUGGUCAGAUGGGUGGACGAGACCGGAUGGGUCGCAUGGGAGACAUGGCAGGCCCCGACAAGACAGACAGUGAUGACUGGAGGGCCCGGCCCACUGCAGACGCCGAUGAUGGACCCCCAAAGAGAGAGGAAUCCGCCUUUGGGUCACGCGACCGCUACGGAGACCGUGACGGGCUGCGAAGGGACAACGACCGCGGCUUCGGCGACCGUGGCGGCGACCGGGACCGCGGCUUUGGCGGCAGAGACCGCUAUGACGACCGGGGAGGUGAGAACGGAGCCUUUGGCUCCCGCAGGGAUAGGGAUGACGGAGGGCGACGUGCCUUCGGCAGUGGGUACCGCCGUGACGAUGACGAUCAGAGUGGCGGAGGUGGUGGUAGCCGCUAUGGGGCCCGGGAUCGCUACGGCGGAGACCGGGAGGGCCGGUACGAGAGGCAGGACGAAGGGCGCGAGGAGAGAGGUGGUCCCACCGAGAGGCCCAAGCUGGUCCUGAAGCCGCGCAGCAUGGCCAAGGAGGAGCAGCAGGCCGGCAGCGGUGGGGCUGCUCCGGCAGCCGCCCGCAGCUCUGGUCGAGCCUCCAUCUUUGGAGCGGCCAAGCCCGUGGACACAGCGGCUAAGGAGCGGGAGGUCGAGGAGAAGCUCCAGAGGCAGCUGGAAGAGGACCAGUCCAAGGGCUUCGAUAGGAAACCUCGCGACAGAGACAGGGACCCAAGCUGGAGGAAUGAGGAGACGCCCUCUGAGCUGUCCCGCACAGGAAGUGAGUCAUCACAUCCCGGAAGUACCUCUGGAGGGAGAGCCUCACGGCGCAGAGAGAGCGAGCGCUCAGUGGAGAACGAAGUAUUCAGCGGUAAGGAGGACGACCCUCCCUCUCCUGUGGCUCGCCCCUCUUCUGCCAACUCUUCCACCUUCUCAUCCAAGGAGCCCCUCAAGGUGAUGCCUGCACCGCCACCUAAGGAUAAUGUCUGGGCCAAGCGGCCUGCUUUGAGUACCGGGUCCAGCGAGGGAUGCGCCCCUAUCUCUACCAGUGACACGGCACCUCCCAAACUGAGAAAGUCUAAAAGAAGAGGCAGAGACUCAAGACCUGCACCAGAGCCAAAGAAAUACGAAGAGUCCCCCACCCUUAAAUUCAGCUCAGCCGGUAAAUACGCUGCUCUGCUAAUGGACAGAGAGCAAGGAGAUGACUCAGAGAAUGGUGUGGAAUAAAACCAGAAGGGGAGAAAGAAGAGGAAAUCCAGAAUAUCACAUUAAAUAUGAACAUCUUCUCACCUGGAGUAGAGGCACCUGGGAAAGUCAUCACUCAUUCCUUCUUUACUCAAAACCCAUCCCAGACCCCUUCCCUACCCCCUCUCUUCAGGACUUUUCAGUAUCUAAAAAGAGUAGUCACGUACUGGACUUGUUUUAAAUGGAAAAGCGGAAUAGGAAGAAGUUUGUUACUGGAUCCUGACUUUCCAGGCUGACCUACCUGACCGUAUGUGCAGUAAAAAAGCCAGUAUUUAACUGACAGAAUAGGAUAAAGGUACAGUACAUUGCCUUCGGAAAGUAUUCAGACCCCUUAACUUUUUCCACAUUUUGUUACGUUGCAGCCUUAUUCUAAAAUGGAUUAAAUAAAUAACAAGUCCUCAGCUAUCUACACUAGCCCACAAUGACGAUUCAAAAACAGGUUUUUAGGAAUCUUUGCGUAUUAGUAUUUAUUAAAAAUAAAAACCAUACCUUAUUUACAUAAGUAUUCAGACCCUUUGCUGUGAGACUUGAAAUUGAGCUCAGGUGCAUCCUGUUUCCAUUGAUCAUCCUUGAUGUUUAUACAACUUGAUUUAGAGUUCACCUGUGGAAAAAGUAUAAUGAUUGGACAUGAUUUGGAAAGGCACACACCUGUCUAUAUAAAGGUCCCACAGUGGACAGUGCAUGUCAGAACAAAAACCAAGCCAUGAGGUCAAAGGAAUUGUCCAUAAAGCUCAGACAGGAUUGUUUCAAGGAACAGAUCUGGGGAAGGGUACCAAAAAAUAUCUGCAGCACUGAUGGUCCCCAAGAACACAGUGGCCUCCAUCAUUCUUAAAUGGAAGACAUUUGGCACCAAGACUUCCUAGAGCAGGCUACCUUGCCAAAUUGAGUAGCCUUGGCCAGAGAGGUGACAAAGAACCUGAUGGGCACUCCAGAGCUCCAGAGUUCCUCUGUGGAGAUGGGAGAACCUUCCAUGAGGCCAACCAUCUCUGCAGCACUCUACCAAUCAGGCCUGUAUGUUAGUGGCCAGCCAAAAGCCACUCAAUAAAAGGCACAUGACAGCCUUCUUGGAGUUUGCCAAAAGGCACCUAAAAACAAGUUUCUCUGGUCUGAUGAAACCAAGAUUGAACUGUUUACCCCAUCCAACCUGACAGCGCUUGAGAAGAUCUGCAUAGAAGAAUGGGAGGAGCUCCCCAAAUAAAGGUGUGCCAAGCUUGUAGCGUCAUAUCCAAGAAGACUUGAGGCUGUAAUCGCUGCCAAAGGUGCUUCAACAAAGUACUGGGAAAAUGUCAAAAUAUUUAUGUCAAUUGAAUAUUUGUUUUUUAUUUGUAAUAAAUUUGCAAACAUUUCUAAAACUAUUUUCUUUGUCAUUAUGUGGUAUCUGUAGAUUGAGGGGGGGGGGGCAAUUUGAUACAUUUUAGAAUAAACUGUAAUUUAACAAUGUGUGGGAAAAGUCUAGCUCUGAGUACUUUCCGAAUGCACUGAACAUAUUGUCACAGAGUACCCUGAUUGGUCCAGCCAACACUAACGAUGACAUGGUUCUCAAUGGGUGUGCCUGUUUUGCACAGCUAGCUCAUGGUGAACCACGAAAGCGGCAAAGGAGGAGUUUGCUGUUGUAUUUGAGUACUGUAGAGCCUGGGAGCUGUGAAUGUCAUCACUAAGUAAAGCGUGACAGAGGAGAGGUUCAGACUGAUCAAAAUGACUGAUCAGAUGGCACCAUGACACUGCCAUUUUCCUCAUUGUUGAUCAAUUAUCAGAAGUUCUCCACCACCUGCAAUUUUGUUUUUGACCCGUCUGUUUGGAGUGGGGCGUUUCCCACUGGGCUCCUAAAU